CAACUUUCAACAACGGAUCUCUUGGCUCUCGCAUCGAUGAAGAACGCAGCGAAAUGCGAUACGUAAUGUGAAUUGCAGAAUUCAGUGAAUCAUCGAAUCUUUGAACGCACAUUGCACUCUCUGGUAUUCCGGAGAGUAUGCUUGUUUGAGUAUCAGUAA
rnacentral:rRNA from 1 species